UUAAAAAAAACAAACACUGACCUCUGACCCCGAAACAUGGCCCGCGAAAUAUAUACGUUUUUCAAGCCGUCAAAACGAUCGUCCGUUUAUGCGCGAUGCACAGCAGUUAGGCUGGCGCCGUAGCCAAUGGCCUGGUAAACCUACCAGAAGAACACGAGGUAAUAUACCGUUCUCUACCAUACGACGUUGUGUGAAAUGUAAACACACCAUUUUGCUGUCAAAAUGGAUCGCCGAAAAACACAGAUUCAGCUCAUUGCUCUACGCAAAGAGAUGAUUGAAGACACGUCCAAAAAGAUGGAAAGGACACCUCGCCAAUCAGGGUACUAUGUGAGCAGAUGCCAGGACUUGGCGUAAACAUCUUGGAGACCUCGUCAAACCCAGCACCUCCAAGUCCACAUCAUCCACCUCCGCAAAGCUCUUGCCAAGCUGGUGGGUUUGUACCAACUGUAGGGAGAUGCCAACACAACAGGACAGGUCAUGCUGCAAACAAAGGCCGGAUGAAUGCUUCUCAAACUUGGCAAUCUUGAGGCACCUUGUUCUGGACCACCAUUAGAGUUGGC